AACGUAGGACGCGAGCGUUAUCCGGAGUUACUGGGCGUAAAGGGCGGGCAGGCGGCCUGGCAAGAUGGGCGUGAAAUCUCCCGGCUCAACCGGGAGGGGCCGCUCGUGACUGUUAGGCUAGAGGGCGACAGAGGCGCGUGGAAUUCCGGGUGGAGUGGUGAAAUGCGUAGAGAUCCGGAGGAACACCAGAGGCGAAAGCGGCGCGCUGGGUCGCGACUGACGCUGAACCGCGAAAGCCAGGGUAGCGAACGGG
rnacentral:rRNA from 1 species